GGGAUGUGCGAUCAGCCCAGGCGGACGACGGCCUUGGGGCUGCAGGGCUGUGACAGCGAGCCCAGCCACCAGCCUGUGCGGCCGCAGAUAAUGAAUAAAUCUGACGACAUCAUGAAAAGACUCAGUUCUCUGAGAGGAAGUGAGCGUGGCCAAGCCCACCAUCGGGAACGCUGUUCAAAGAAGCCCCUCCCGGGAAUCCAUGUGCCGCUGUCCUGCCAGGGACGCGGGGUGGCACUGUAACCCCAGGUGUUGUCCGGGCAGGUCACUGAUGUUUUGCCAACGUUGGAUGUCUCUUCAAAGGAUUUCUGAGUCAGGCGAGGACCGUUGAUACAGAGCCCCUUUCUUUCUUGGCCUCCUAAAACCUUAAAUUUCCUUCUUAACCUCUGUCCGCACCACGCCAAAGCCGCUGGUCAAACCUCAAAAACACGAGACAAAGGUGCAGCGUCCAAGGUUGUUGGAUGAGUCACAAGACGACUUGGCACCGUGCUCCCCGCUGGCCUCUUGCUGCAUUGUUGAGGAGGGGCCAGACCUCCCCAUCUUCGCUGACAGGUCACAGAUCAGAGAUGGCCCCCGGCCAUGGCAUACACCCUCAGGCCUUCCUUCUUGGCCGCCCCGAAUCCUUCGUGAUGGAUCGCCUCCUCGGCUUCGCAGCUCCCCCGGAACCAGCACCAAUGCACGGAGCCUCCAGAGGCCCAGGGCAGCCGGCCAGGAGAGCAGCGCCCAGCCAUGGGGUUUGCACAGCCACGGCCGGGCUCUGACUUCUGGGUCAGAAAUGAAUUCCUCAUCCCACAGGCUCAGGUCCCCUGCUGAUCCAGAGUCUGAGCCAACGACACGGUAGAAACGAGUCCUCCUGGCACCGUGAAGGCCUUGCAGAAUGGAGGCCGUGGGGUCCGGCUCUGACCCCGAGGCUGUUCCCAGCCGGACUCUCUGUCAUUAAUCCUGCUUCACUUUCCUAAAGCGAUGACAGUGGGACUUGGAGUAUGACCUCGUUUAUCAUUCUCCCUGUCAUUAAAGUAUGAGAUUUGAGUGCCCCGCCCGAAUAUUUGAA